GGCAGGGAAUAAGCACUGGGUCCCCACGGUCUUGUCUUUUUUAGUCUGUUUUGGUCUCCCCAUCCAUGCACCCACCUAAACCAGCUAGGAUUGUGUAAGCCCUAGACUAGUAGGCGGGACCAAUUGAAAAUGUCGGACCCUGUGGGGGUGCGGACAAGGCUGCCAGCCCAGCAAAACUGCAGGCUUUUGGUCCUGCCUGAUUCCUGGUUCCUCGCUUACCAGCUGCCCUCCCAGUGGCUUCCCGUGGAGGACCAGUGCCCUCAGCCCAACAGUCUGGGGGCCGAACUGUCCUUGGCAAGUUGUUGCCGUGGCAAAAUGCAGACAAGCAGGGCAACUGCACUUACGCUAGCAGGAGUCGAGAGACAUUUGGAAGAAUUAAGGAGACACACGAGCCCACCGCCCAGCACUUCAAGGCUGGCCAUGCAAACGGCCCCCUGCCUUCCUGUAACUUUCUUGGCCCAUGAAGCAUAUUUCAGAUUCCUCCAAUGGGUUGCCCCGGAGCUGUUUCUCCUUAAAGGAGCCGGUCUCAGGAGUAGCCAUGACGCCUCUGCCUGGAAACACGGAGUAGAGCUUCCCGGUUACAGCAAACCAAAGGAAUGGCUGCUCUCACUUCUGUGAGCAUCGGUGGUACCAACUAGCCAAGCAUUCUGUUAGAGUUUCAAGCUGACCAUGGGGGUGCGGGGGUAGUUGGGGGUGUGGAAACAACCGAUCUGGUCUUUAACCGUGAAAACCGUGAAGAUGGACAAACUGUUGACACUCUCUGGUCUGACAUCCAGCGUUCGGAGGAGAGCAUUCCUAAAGGCCAGCUUUGUGCUGACUGGGUCCCAACAGCAAUACUGUCUCCAGGCUUGGGUCAUCCUCAGGGAAGUAGGUCUAGAGCCCAAGACAGCAUCUGCCAGCCUGGAUAACUGUCCUUGCUUCAGGUCAGUGUGGAGACAUGUGAACACAGUCCUGCGCAGCCGACGUGCUGAGUAAGGUUUCCUGAACACAAAGCGACUUGUAUACGAUGGUUGCUAAGGUGCCAGGGAGAUUAUGUUUUCCAGAGUCAUCUGUAAAAUAAACUCACCUACAAAAUCUUCUAUAAUGGGACUUAGGCACUGCUCACUCUGAUGAGGAGAGGGGGUCUUUGUCACAUCUAUUUUAGUAUAGAUAGGCUUGGAAUGUGUGGGUAGAAUCAUCAACAGGAUGGAUAGAGACUGUCUUGCAUGGUUCCUGAGGCUUGGUCGUGAGAAGGAGGUUUCAACUGCUGGACUGUGCACAGCUAGGCCACCACACAAGAACCCUGAGAAUCUGUGUGCGCUCCAGCCUACAGGCCUGGCUAUCUAAAUGCCCCUCACGCACCAUACCUGUGAGUAGUGGGCUUUCGAUGCAAAGAUAACCUGUCCUCACAGCAUCCUUGCCUAACUGGUGGCCCACUGAAAGCCUAAACAACAUCAGAUGGUGAUUAACCUUAGCUCUUGAGCAUUGGUAUGAUAUGGAAUGUAGCGGUAAUGACUUCCAGCAAGAUGGCAUGGGUGAACAUAAGUAUUUUCCAGGAGCUGCCCUCUGAUCCACACAUACACGUGUGUGUCCCAAAAUAAAUGCAAUUUAAAGUUAAAUAACUGAGUAAACCAAAGCAAUCCUAAAAGUAACAUUAAAGUGACUCUUUAUAAAUUGCUGCGAUUUGCAUGCUUUAAAAUUCAAAAGCUGUUAUACUCAGCUGACCUCAUCCUAAUUUUCCAGCCCUUCUCACUGUCCUCCCAAGGUGUUCCCUGCUUUCAGAUGUCUCAAGUCUCUACCUAACCCCACAUCUCUUUUGCUGCUUCACACCUUUGUGCUGUUAUAAUUUUUUUUGUCCUGAUUGAAAAGCUUCCUUUUCCUACCUAGGGAAUAUCCAUGAAGCCUUACAUUCAGUGUAAGGUUGUCUGAUCGUCCCCACCUUCCUGUGGUUGCUCCCUCUGAGCAGCUGCACGUUCCCAUGGGACUACCAACCCUUCUCCCCUAGCCCUGCAGAAACACCAACCCUUCUCCCCCAGCCCUGCAGAAACACUAGCCCUUCUUCCCCAGCCCUGCAGAAACGCCAACCCUUCUCCCCCAGCCCUGCAAAAACACCAACCCUUCUCCCCAGCCCUGCACAAAGACCAGCUCUUCUCCCCCAGCCCUGCACAAAGACCAGCUCUUCUCCCCCAGCCCUACAGAAAUGCCAACCCUUCUCCCCCAGCCCUGCAGAAACACCAACCCUUCUCCCCCAGCCCUGCAGAAACACCAACCCUUCUCCCCAGCCCUGCAGAAGUGCUAGCCCUUCUCCCCCAGCCCUGCACAAAGACCAACCCUUCUCCCCGAGCCCUGAAGAAACACCAGCCCUUCUCCCCCAGCCCUGCAGAAACGCCAGCCCUUCUCCCCCAGCCCUGCAGAAACACCAGCCCUUCUCCCCCAGCCCUGCAGAAACACCAGCCCUUCUCCCCCAGCCCUGCAGAAACGCCAGCCUUCUCCUGCAGGAGUGCCAAGCUUCUUACAGGGUGUGUGUGCAUCUGUUUACUUCGGGAUCUGCUCUCGCAGCCUGUAGAAGGACACUGCAUUCCCUUGCUGUGCUCUGUACCUCAGGAACCCGCCCGCCUUCCCCUAGUGUAUUGAUUUCUAUGCCCUGCACACAGUAUAGGAGCCGCGUCCCACAUCACCUGCAGGUUUUAGCCAAGGGAAGCUGUUUCUUCCUGGCCAUUGCUUCCCCACCUCACAAACAAGGGAAUUGUGUCCCGAAGGUCACGAGGCUAACAAGCCAUGAGACCAGUGGGGGAAAACCCAGCCUACCCAGAAAGCCUGCAGCAUUCUUUCUGUGGCAUGAGGUGCCCCACCAAUAACUAAUGAUUUCACGGCAUACGCUCACAUGUGCGUAGUUUUUGUCUGUCCACACAGGAGGCAUCGAUUCAUGGAAAUGAAUACCCCCCCCCAGAUCUUAGUGACAUGAUAUGGCUCCUAGAGGUGAGGGCCACUUUGCAGGGUGACAUCCUCUGGCAUGGCUCAGAUAGCAUGCAACAACUGCUCUGCAGUAACGUUCCCACAGCAGGAGCAGGAGCAUGGAGACUUGUCCACGUAGGUGAAUCUCUAGGGAACAGCAUACGUUUUGUUGGCCAAAGCAAGCCACAGCCCCACCUAAUUUCAAGGGGACUCUUGUAGACACUGGUGUGGAGUGGCUAUGUGAGCCACACAGUCAAGGGUCACAAGUAGACCGGGCCUGAGGUUCAAAGCAGUCACAACUUGAGGUUACUAUUUCCUCACUCUGUAAUCAUUCACUAAUACAAGGAAACACCAAAAGUGAUUGCAGUGGGUUUCUAGGCUUAAACCACACUUAAUUCUGACAAUAACAGCAAGUCGUGUUCCCGCAACCACAAUGGAAGCCACAACCAGCGUUUAUAGAAGUGCUUUGCAAUUUGCAUGACAUUUUCAUUUAUAUCUUCACUCUGUGAAACACGAAAAUCUCAAAAAAAAAGAGUUUUGAAAUAUGCUUUUCCUUCAGCUUUGCAAUAUGUGAUUAAAUAAAAUGGUAACCUAUUAAUAACCUAUUAUAACCUCUCCUUGAUAACCUAUUAAUCUACUGACCCACACAAAUAAACCAUUCCCAUGAUCCAAUCACCUCCCAAAGUGGGGAGUAGGGGAACCAAUGUCCAACACAUGAAAUCUAACAUCCAGGAUGCCUCAGACCACGGAAGCCAGGCAGACUCUGGGCUUGGUAUCACAUUCAUCUCAUAAAACAUCAGGUGAAAAGUUGGCGGGCUGCCUAUAAGAUGAAAUCUAGCUCGUGAUGUGUUUCGUUUGACCCAAGUUGCACUAAAUAAGCUGCCACUGCCAUGUUAGAAUUGAGACUAACCCAGGGAAAUUCUGGGUUUUCAAUGCUGCUUUUAAAGCUGGCCAACCCAGAUGCCCAGGUCUGCACCCCGCGGAGCGCUCGGACCGCAGAUCUGCACAAGCUGUUCUGCAGGAUGUGGCUCCCUGUGGUCUCUGUCACUUCCGGUAGCUUCAUCCUGGGUCCAACUUUACUGGCAUUUGUUUAACUUCAGGCUCUUGAGCUCAGAGCAACCGAGACAGGACAACAACAGAAACAUGCUGCAAACUGCUGAGGAGCUCGGAGACAGCUUGGCCGGCCGGGAGAGUGCUUGCUGCAUAGGCACCGCACAAGGACCUGAGUUCAGAGAGAAAGAGUCCCUGUCCCUCGGCACUUCACCCAGUCAUCACCGCGGCCUCUCUCAACUUUGUACCACAUUGUCAUCCAGCCAGCUGACUGCCUGAAAUGCUCAGCGACUGCGAGAAUGGCCAGUCGCUUCCCUCCUCAACUGCUCUCUCCCUGGGAAUUGUUGCCCAGUGUCCUCGCUGAUGGAUUCUCAACUCUUAUCCUUGCCGUGUCUACUGUUUAAAAUCCAACCUUACCUCCCAGAUGGACUUGGACAUAAAUUCCACGCAGCCAAGGGUCCCUACCUACUAUCCUACCAAUGGACCUGAACAGUGCUUAUAAAAAAAAAGCCCCUGGACACAGUAGGUGCUCAGCCAACCUCAGUGAAUGAGUGAGUGUCUCCAAUCUGACAAGCAGAAGAACUUGGUUUUGUUGUUUAGCUCACUUUCGGUUUCUCUGUUACGUAAACUCUGCAGCUGAGAUAUUGCCUUUAUUGCAGUAACAGUAUCUGAACAUCCUAGCUGGCUGUCAUCAACACAAUGUUUUCAUGGGGCUGGAUCCACGGUUAAGAGCUCUUGCUGCUCUUACAGAUGGAUGACAGGGCAGCUUACAACUGUGUCCCUAGCUGCAGUUCCAGCCGAUCUGACACCCUCAUUGGGGCUCUAACUGGCAUCAGGCGCACACUUGGUACACAUACGUACGCUGCAGGGAAAAGAAGACUCAUGCAUAUAAAAUAAAAAAUAAGAAAACAAACAUCUGAAAAAGCAGAAAAACGUUUUCACACAGUACCACAGUGUGCUCCUGUGGCUUGUGAGGCAUGGUGGUGGUAUGAAUUGAUGACACCACAUACCUGAUGUCUUCAUCUCUGCGACUUGUCGGAUGUCACCCUACAAGGCAGAGACUUUGCAGGUGCAUGGAAAUGAAGGGGCGGGGACAGAGAGAUGGUACCUAAAUGCAAUCACAGAGAUGAAGGGUCGGGGAUUGAGAGAUGGUCCCUAAAUGCAAUCACAGAGUCCUUUACAAGAGGGAGGACAUGGGUGACAGGACACACGCAUAGAUGGGGGAGGGAAUGUGACCACAGGGACAGAGGGGGGCAUGCAGUGGCGGACACCGCACUAAGAGGACAGACACUCUGAGAAGCAAGCGCAGGCUCUGUCCUGGAGCAUCCAGAGGGAGGAGAGGCUCUGGCAGCAACCCGGUUCAGCCCAGAAAGGAGCAGUCCUCCAGAACGUGAGAGAAAUAAACCUCCUCUUGAAAUCUGAA